GACGUAGGGCGCGAGCGUUGUCCGGAUUUAUUGGGCGUAAAGAGCUCGUAGGCGGCUUGUCGCGUCGACUGUGAAAACCCGUGGCUCAACCAUGUGGUCUGCAGUCGAUACGGGCAGGCUAGAAUUCGGUAGGGGAGACUGGAAUUCCUGGUGUAGCGGUGAAAUGCGCAGAUAUCAGGAGGAACACCGGUGGCGAAGGCGGGUCUCUGGGCCGAUAUUGACGCUGGAGGAGCGAAAGCGUGGGGAGCGAACAGGA
rnacentral:rRNA from 1 species